GUGCCAGCCGCCGCGGUAAUACCGGCAGCUCGAGUGAUGUCCAAUAUUAUUGGGCCUAAAGCGUCCGUAGCUGGCCGCGCAAGUCCGUCGGGAAAUCCACCUGCCCAACAGGUGGGCGUCCGGCGGAAACUGUGUGGCUUGGAACCGGAAGGCUCAGAGGGUGCGUCCGGGGUAGGAGUGAAAUCCCGUAAUCCUGGACGGACCGCCGGUGGCGAAAGCGCCUCAGGAGGACGGGCUCGACAGUAAGGGACGAAAGCCAGGGUCUCGAACCGGAUUAGAAACCCGUGUAGUCC
rnacentral:rRNA from 1 species